rnacentral:rRNA from 1 species
GGUGAACGCUGGCGGCGUGCCUAACACAUGCAAGUCGAGCGGUGCAGUUUGAAGCUUCGGUGGAAAGCUGCAUAGCGGCGGACGGGUGAGGAAAACGUAGGAACGUGCCCCUUGGAGUUGGAUAGCCACGGGAAACUGUGGGUAAACCGACAUAGACUCGAGAGAGUAAAGGCCGAAAGGCGCCAAGGGAGCGGCCUGCGGCCCAUCAGGUAGUUGGUAGUGUAAAGGACUACCAAGCCGACGACGGGUAGCCGGUCUGAGAGGAUGGCCGGCCACAAAGGGCACUGAGAGACGGGCCCUACUCCUACGGGAGGCAGCAGUGGGGGAUUUUGGACAAUGGGCGAAAGCCUGAUCCAGCGACGCCGCGUGGAGGACGAAGCCCUUCGGGGUGUAAACUCCUUUUCUCAGGGAAAAAGGAUGAUGGUACCUGAGGAAUAAGCCCCGGCUAACUACGUG